AACGAACGCUGGCGGCACGUUUUAAGCAUGCAAGUCGAAUGGCAGCAGGGGCAACUCUGUGAGAAUGGCGAACGGGUGAGUAACACGUAGGUGAUCUGCCUUGGGGAUGGGGAUAGCCUGUGGAAACACAGGGUAAUACCGAAUAAGCUGACGGGACUUUGGUUUUGUUAGUAAAGGUGCUACGGCACCGCCUUGAGAGGAGCCUGCGGCUGAUUAGCUAGUUGGUGGGGUAAAGGCCUACCAAGGCGACGAUCAGUAGCCGGCCUGAGAGGGUGUACGGCCACACUGGGACUGAGACACGGCCCAGACUCCUACGGGAGGCAGCAGCUAAGAAUCUUCCGCAAUGGGCGGAAGCCUGACGGAGCGAUGCCGCGUGAUCGAUGAAGGUCGAGAGAUUGUAAAGAUCUUUUCUACAUGAGGAAUAAGUCUGGGAGGGAAUGCCUGGAUGAUGACGUUAGUGUAGGAAUAAGCCCCGGCUAAUUACGUGCCAGCCGCCGCGGUAA
rnacentral:rRNA from 1 species